rnacentral:rRNA from 1 species
AACGAACGCUGGCAGCAUGCCUAACACAUGCAAGUCGAACGAGACCUUCGGGUCUAGUGGCGCACGGGUGCGUAACGCGUGGGAACCUGCCCUUAGGUUCGGAAUAACUCCCCGAAAGGGGUGCUAAUACCGGAUAAUGUCUUCGGACCAAAGAUUUAUCGCCUUUGGAUGGGCCCGCGUUGGAUUAGCUAGUUGGUAGGGUAAAAGCCUACCAAGGCGACGAUCCAUAGCUGGUCUGAGAGGAUGAUCAGCCACACUGGGACUGAGACACGGCCCAGACUCCUACGGGAAGCAGCAGUGGGGAAUAUUGGACAAUGGGCGAAAGCCUGAUCCAGCAAUGCCGCGUGAGUGAUGAAGGCCGUAGGGUUGUAAAGCUCUUUUACCCGGGAUGAUAAUGACAGUACCGGGAGAAUAAGCUCCGGCUAACUCCGUG